rnacentral:lncRNA from 1 species
ACCCCAGCUGGAGUGCAUUGGCAAAAUCAUAGCUCACUGCAGCCUUUGAUCUCCUGGGCUCAAGCGAUACUCCACCUCAGUUUCUUGAGUAGCUGAGACUACAGGCGCAUGCCACCAUGUCCGGCUAAUUUUUAAAUUUUGUUUUGGAGACAGCGUCUCACUAUAUUGCCCAGGCUGGUCUCAAAUUCCUAGCCUCAAAUGAUCCUCUGCCCUGGCCUCUUAAAGCACUGGGAUUACAGGGGUGAGCCACUACACUCAGUCCCCUUCUUUUUUUUUUUUUUUGAGACGGAGGCUCGCUAUCGCCCAGGCUAGAGUGCAGUGGCGCGAUCUCGGCUCACUGCAAGCUCUGCCCCCUGGGGUUCACGCCAUUCUCCUGCAUCAGCCUCCCACGUAGCUGGGACUACAGGCGCCCGCCACCUUGCCAGGCUAAUUUUUUGUAUUUUUAGUAGAGACGGGGUUUCACCGUGUUAGCCAGGAUGGUCUCGAUCUCCUGACCUCGUGAUCCGCCCGCCUGGGCCUCCCAAAGUGCUGGGAUUACAGGCGUGAGCCACCGCGCCCGGUCCCCCUUCUUAAAAAUGUAGAAAACAUCACCCCUUGCUCGAUACAUUGCUGUGAGAAUCGAAUGAAAUAUUAGUUUUGAAAACACCUGGUGUGGACCGGGUGCAGUGGCUCACAGCUCUAAUCCUAAGCACUCUGGGAGGCCAAGGCAGGUGGAUUGCUUGAGCUCAGGAGAUGGAGAUCAGCCUGGGCAACAACAGCCUGGGUGAAACUCUGUCUCUACAAAAAAUUAGCUGGGUGUGGUGGUGUGUGCCUGUAGUCCCAGCGACUCAGUAGGCUGAGGUGGGAGGAUGGCUUGGGUCCAGGAGACCAAGGCUGCAGUGAACCUUGAUCACACCACUGCACUUCAGCCUGGGUGAGAGAAAGACCAUGUCUCAAAAAAGAAGAAAAAAAAAAAGAAAACACCUGGUGUUAACAAAAUACCUUAGCCUGAAAGAAGAAAGAAAGGAAGGAAAAAGAAAAAGAAAGGAGAGAGAGAAAUAAAGAAAACACCUGGUGAAUUCUUUAAGGCACAAUGCAAAAGUUAGUUAUUCACAAUAGGAGAAAGACAAUGCCUUCAACUUGAUUCUCAGUCUUCUACAUAGAGCUUCAGGGGCAUCUCAGGACAGAAUGGCAAUUCCUUCUCCAAGGGUGACCUUUCUGUUUCCUUUGGGACAAAAAUGCACACAUUUGCAAAAGCCAUGUCUAAUUCUGUAAUUUAUUUUCUUUGCCUGAUGAUGACUGUAAAAAACAAAAACGAAUAUAACACUGUAAUUCUGAGGGUGAAAGAGUCAACUGAAAGCCACUGCAUGUGUAAAUCCAACAUUUAUAAUGCAGAAACGGUUUUCAGUAAUCCAGAUUCAGCCUCCACUUCCACACCAUUCCCAAUACAGACUCGAUGACUCACAUGGCAACGGCCACCUUCUGCAGCAUCCCUCAGAUGACACUGACCUUUUCUAGACAGAGGCCACACACCAGUCCAGUGGCUCAAUACUCCUUACAAACUGGCCUGUUUUUCUAGAAAGCCCCCAAAGAACUGUGAAAUGUGCCCCUGAGUACACCUGCGCUGAGCUCUUCAGUGUUAUCACAUGCUGGGAAUAAAAUAAAAAAAAAAAAAUAAUACAAAAAAUUAGCCAGGGCGUGGUGGCUGGCACCUGUAGUCCCAGCUACUCGGGAGGCUAAGGCAGGAGAAUGGCGUGAACCCGGGAGAUGGAGCUUGCAGUGAGCUGAGAUCGCGUCACUGCACUCCAGCCUGAGCAACAGAGCAAGACUAUAUCUCAAAAAAAAAAAAAAAAAAAAAAAAAAAAAAAAAAAAAGGCCGGGUGCGGUGGCUC